CGGUCGAUCCUAGAAUUCACCUCUCACGACCCGGUACGGCGGCCCCGACCGUCCCUAUUCGGUAGCCAAAUGCCUCGUCAUCUAAUUAGUGACGCGCAUGAAUGGAUUAACGAGAUUCCCACUGUCCCUACUAACUAUCUGGUGAAACCGCAGCUAGGGGAACGGACCUAGCAAAAUCAGCGGGGAAAGAAGACCCUGUUGAGCUUGACUCUAGUCCGACUUUGUGAAAUGAUUUUAGGAGUGUAGAAUAUGUGGGAGAGAAAUCAAUCUUGAAAUACCACAAUCCUGAAUAUUGUUUUACUUAUUUGAUUAUAAAUAAAAUACUUUAUUGUACCAAUAAUCCCACUGGGAUUAGAUAUUUUUCAAAGACAUUGUCAGAUGGGGAGUUCGGCUGGGGCGGCACAUUUUGCUAAAAGAUAACGCAAGUGUCCUAAGAUGAGCUCAUUGAGAACAGAAAUCUCAUGUAGAACAAAAGGGUAAAAGCUCAUUUGAUUUUAAUUUUCAGUAAUAAUUUAAACUGUGAAAGCAUGGC
rnacentral:rRNA from 1 species